CUGUAUUUGUUAUAUAGAUUUAUUAUUUAUAAUAUAUUUGUUAUACAGUAUAGUUUAUGUUAUAUACAAGAGAAUGUAAAACAUCUGUUUAAAUCAUAGCUUUAUUGUAGAGUGUAAUUAUGUAUUAGAUAACACUGAUGGCCAGCAAAAUAUUUUUUGCAUUAAACUGCAAUUGAAAUCUGUCACUGUGAUGGCUACUUUGAUUACUGGGGAAAAGGAACAACUGUGACUGUGACAUCAGGCACUCCAAGUACACCCACUGUGUUUCCUCUGAUUCCAUGUGGUUCUAAAGGCGGAGAUAUGGUCACUAUUGGCUGCCUUGCCACUGGCUUUAACUCUCCAUUAGUGACUUUCUCGUGGAAAAAAGCAGGCUCUACCUUGACAGACUUCACUGAGUACCCUGCAGUACAAAAAGGCAAUGUCUAUACUGGAGUCAGUCAACUCCAAGUGAGCAGAAACGAAUGGGAUUCACAACAGAAUUUCCAGUGUGUUGUGACUCACAACAAUACAGAUUCAAGCGCGGAUAUAAAAAAACCAUUCCCCAAAACUACAGUUCGGACUACUGAGACUACAGAUGAUAAGAUAACAGUGACAGUGCACGUCAUCCCAGAGUCACACAUCGUCAAGGAGGUCACUCUGGUGUGUCUCAUCUCCAGCCCCGAGAAUAGAAAUUACAGCAUUACCUGGUCAGAAGACCUUGGACAAAAUAAAAUACCAGGCAUCAUCUUUCAGACACAGGAAAUCAAAAACCGCUACUUAGUUAUGAGCCUUUACAAAACCACUAAGAAAAACUGGGAAGCAAACAAAAUGUUCUAUUGUUACGCUGAAGCGAAACAACCCCCAAGCUUGAACAGCAAAGGCGUAUCCAGCAAAAUGGAGUCAGACGUUGUUCUGAGUUUCGCAAAUGGCAAGAAUCAAGAGGAUGAGUUCAGCAGCCUGUUGUCCACAACCGCCUCGUUCAUAUUCCUCUUUGUAUCUUCUCUCUUCUACAUAGUGAUUAUCAGCCUGGUGAAGACGAAGAGAUAAUAAAAAUGGGCUGGAAUGGAUACAUCAUUAAUUAUGUAUUUUUGAAAAUGAUUUUUAAAUGCUUUGUGUAUUAAUCAUUUUUAUAUUAAAUAGCAGUCAUAUAUAUUUACCAAAUUUGUAAGCUGUGGAAAAUUAAAUAAAGGAAUGCAUAUUUUUAAAUUCAUAUAACCCUAUGUCCCUAAUCUGGGUGCUGUUGUUAUUUUAAGUAACUGCUGUAGAAAAAAAAAGAAACAUCACUGUUUGUUCAUUUUGCUGCUUUGAUUAAUAUUUUCAUGUAUACAAUUAAGUAAAUAAAAUUUGGCACCUUACAAUUUAAAGGUAGUAUGAAUGAUAGUGUUUGUGUAUAAAAAUAGAAAAUUACUCUAUCAUUUCUCAAGGGUUUUAAAAUAACAGAAGUCAAUAUACUGUAAAGUUCUGUUAUCAAGAGGUUUUGAGUUUCCUGGUGCGCUCCUAGAGAUCAGCUGCACAAGUGAAACUGCAAAAACCAUUACUGAAUUAAUUUACAUGAAACAAGAUAGUCAUCUGUGAAUAGUACAUAUUUACAUACGGAGUGGCUCACAUCCAUUCCUUGUACACAAAAGCUCUUAGAUAAAGGCGAGAAUAAAGGUGGACUCACCUUCAAAAAUACAUCUAUAUUUGUACAGUCAAUGGGGGACUAGGCCAUUGUUCUUCUCACAGUUUAAGUCUGGUAUAGAAGUGUUUCUCAAUCCCACAAGCACCACUGUGAGCCUGUCUGCUGCACAGAGCAGACUGGAAGACCUGUGUCUGUCAAACCUGGACACAAAGCCCUGUCUCAGCUUUCAACUCUGCACUGAACAAUUUACUUGUUUCACAUACUGAUGUAAUUAUAGCGAUUUUUGUAAAGAUUAUUUACUGUUAUUACAUUAAAGGAAGAGGAAUUUGCUGAUCUUGGCCUAUGAGAAUUCCAUAAC